CUGCUGUGAACCUUCAAUGCUUACUUAUUCUUAAAAGAGGAUUGGGUAACUAUGCAACAGCAUUACAAACAGCUUCUUCGGCCGUUAUCAAAAGAACAGAGAUGUGGAAACGCUCUCACAAAUCUUAAAAGAGGCAGAAACUGCAUAUUCAUCACCAGCUGCCCCAGGUUAGAUGCCUCUGUGCAGGGCACAAAUCACACAGCUUUACCCAGCGUCCUGUGAGCCUCAAAACCACAGGCACAUGAUUAUGCUGAACUGCUCUCAGAGGGAGGCUUGAUGGAGCCAUGAAGAAGAGGUAGAAACAAAAUAGCAGACAGGAAAAAGUAUCUGCAGCAAAGAAACAGCAUGGGUGAAGUCCUGCAGAAAGGCAGUUGGACCAAGGCAAGAUGACCUGCAGAAACUCUGCCAGUGAUAAAACGGAUGCAUCUCUCAACUGACAAAAUAACCACAAAAUCUCUGCUUUUCGUGCCUGUGCCCAGUGUUUGAGGAUGAUGGAAAUCACAGAGAUAAAACACCUAAUACAUUCAUCUGUUUGCAGAAAAGGUUGCAUCUAAUUAGUAGGUAUAAUGUUAAUUCUGACAUAAAUUACAGAAUAAAAUAAUGGACAUGAACAUAAUACAAAAAUGCUAAGGCUGAACAAAUAAAAGAUUAAGAAAAUUUCAAGAUAAAAGGAGGGUUUAGCAAAAGAUACAAAAUGAACAUCUGAACUGGAUUAUUUUUAACCUCUGACUAUUCUAACACAUGUCCUGUAUCUGUGGGUAAUGCUUAGACAGCUUAUUAGAAAUUUAGCAAUUUAUAUAAAUGUCUUAUUUGUUACUGACACAAAUAAAAAUAUAUGCUUAUAUUUGUAUAAUAUUAAGUGAAUGGGAUUAAAAAUAUAUCUUGAAUACCGUCAGUUUUUUCCACUUGCUCUAUUAUCUAGAUCUGUAUUUUCAUGUUAUCACUUCCUAACAUUUUCUGUUUCUAGUUGGAACUGUAGAGAAAAUACAUAUUAUGAUUUCUACUUUAUAUUUGGAAAACAUGAAGUAAAAAGAAAAAUC
rnacentral:lncRNA from 1 species